rnacentral:rRNA from 1 species
UACGUAGGGUGCAAGCGUUAAUCGGAAUUACUGGGCGUAAAGCGUGCGCAGGCGGUUAUAUAAGACAGUUGUGAAAUCCCCGGGCUCAACCUGGGAACUGCAUCUGUGACUGUAUAGCUAGAGUACGGUAGAGGGGGGGAUGGAAUUCCGCGUGUAGCAGUGAAAUGCGUAGAUAUGCGGAGGAACACCGAUGGCGAAGGCAAUCCCCUGGACCUGUACUGACGCUCAUGCACGAAAGCGUGGGGAGCAAACAGG